ensembl:lncRNA
GUUUGUCGAAUACAGCUGGCACACAUAUUGGCUCUCUCUAGCUUAGAGCUAACACUUCACCGUAGAUUAUCCGCCUUGAGACAAGAAAGGACCCAGUCCCCCUGCGCGCGUAAAGACCGUAGACUUGUGCACAAAAGCCAGACUAGCUGUAUUCGAGAGAGACACUCCUUAAACGAAGCAGGCAGCAUCCACUAUAGGCAGAUAGAGAGGAGCUAUACUACAUGUAAUGGAUUGGUGGACAACCCUGGCUGCGAGUAUAGCCUUGCUGUGGCUCCUCUGUUACAUCGACGGUAAGAGAACCUGGUUAGCAGAGGUUUGGAAGCUUUCUUCGUCAAGGGAACGGUGCGGUACUGGCACGCGCUCUGGGCUUCUUCCUAAUUGCGGCAACGCUGUCCUAGAGCUGCGGCUGCUCUUUCACGCCCUCACCAAAGCCGCGUGCCACCUGUACCUGGCGGUUCUCCCGCUACGCCGCGCCGCCCUGCAGCUUGCCCGAUUCGUCUGUCACCUUGCCAACCACGGACCCGCCUCCGCCGGCCGGGCGUCUCCACUACUCCUGGAGGGCGUGUGUGUUGUUUGUGAAGCCACGCCGGACCUGUUGGGCGCAGGGCUCAGUCUAUGUGCCGUGCUGUGUCACAUCCUGCAGGGGGCGCUGUUCCUGUUGGCGGCCACCCUGCGGUCGGUCCAGGAUAGCGUUCUGGCCCAGGUGGACGGGGAGAGGGAGAGGUGGGAGAAAGAGCGACAACGCGCCAGACAACUGGAGAAGAGACAAAACGCCAGGGUGGUGGAAUACCUCUCUGUCUGUGAAGACCCUGCAAGUUCCCUACGACUCAAGGUGGACAUGAUCGAUAGAUAACAAUGAUCGACAGGUGAAUCGAUUGUUUAUUGGGAUGGUGGUGAAUUACACAAACGUUGUUUUCUGGCACAUUAUGCCUUUAUACACCUAUAUCGCCACUGCCUUUUGUAAUGGUAACUGAUUUGGAAUAUAAGGGUUCGGGGAGCCAGUUCAGGUUCCCUCCAACUGAUUCACACUGCAAAAAGGGACGAGGCUGGGAGGGGGAACAUUUUUUACAAACCUCCCAUUUUAGGCUGGAUGUGUAAUGUUGUUUAAAUUUACAUAAUCUAUAAACAGAAUUACAAUUUUCGGGAGCACUUUUACCAGUGGUCAAAAAUCCCAGAAUGCGUUUUGGUCUGUUUCUGUCAUGGUUGGUUAUUGUUAGAUGUCUGACACGGUCUUAACGGUUGUAUCUGUUACUGUGAGUUUAUAUCGAAUCUGUCUGUUACAUUUAGUUGGUUGUUGUCAGUCCCUAUUACGGUCUUAUAGUCAAUUAAUGCCAAAGAGGCAAUCUGCAGUUGUAAAACCAUAUCACUGAUCACCAGUCCUCAAUCCACAACUCUUUCUAAAUGUUUAGUUUUUCAGGUCUUAGACUUGUUUUACAGAAAGGGUUAGAAUUAACUUCGUUAUUGUUUCAACUGCAGAUUGACCCUUUAUUGUUAAUUACUGUCAGAUAGUCUAUGUUUCUGCUCAACAUGGC